AGAGUUUGAGUCCUGGCGUCAGGAUGAACGACUGACAGAAUAGCUUAACACAUGCAAGUCUUUGGCGAAUCUGUGCUUGCACAGGCUAGCCAAGGCGGACGGGUGAGUAACGCGUAAGAACUUGCCUGCAGACAGGGAUAACAGACGGAAACGAACUGACAACACCUGAUACAGUUGCCGGCACGCAUGUGCCUGGCAAUGAAAAGAGAUGCUGCGGGAGAGCUUUGCGUCCUAUUAGCUUGUUGGCGGGGUAACGGCCCACCAAGGCGAUGAUAGGUAGCCGGCCUGAGAGGGUGAACGGCCACAAGGGGACUGAGAUACGGCCCUUACUCCUACGGGAGGCAGCAGUGGGGAAUAUUGGACAAUGGGGGCAACCCUGAUCCAGCAAUUCUGUGUGCACGAGGAAGGUUUUCGGAUUGUAAAGUGCUUUCAGCAGGGAAGAAGGAAGUGACGGUACCUGCAGAAGAAGCGACGGCUAAAUACGUG
rnacentral:rRNA from 1 species